GAUGAAGAACGUAGCGAAAUGCGAUACUUGGUGUGAAUUGCAGAAUCCCGUGAACCAUCGAGUCUUUGAACGCAAGUUGCGCCCGAAGCCACUAGGCCGAGGGCACGCCUGCCUGGGCGUCACACGCCGUUGCCCCCCCAUCUACUCCUUCGGGAUUGCGGGGGGGCGGAUGAUGGCCUCCCGUGCGCCUAGCCGCGCGGUUGGCAUAAAUACCAAGUCCUCGGCGACGCACGCCACGACAAUCGGUGGUUGCGAAACCUCGGUUGCCCGUCGUGUGCGUUCGUCGCGCAUCGAGGGCGCGAAAAAAUGCUCGGCUCCGGCUGGGCUUUCAACGCGACCCCAGGUCAGGCGGGGUUACCCGCUGAAUUUAAGCAUAUCAAUAAGCGGAGGA
rnacentral:misc_RNA from 1 species